CGCGCAAGCGCGUCUGAGGCCGGGCACUGCAGCUGGGAAGAGGUGCGGCUGCUGCGCUUUGCCCCCAGCCUUCGCGCCAAGGCCGAGCGACUGGCCGGGUCUGGCUGUGGGGUAGCGAGGAGCUGGCCUAAAGGAAAGCGGACUCAAGAAACCUUCCUGCAGCACGCGUUGCUCUGUUAGCAGCCUGCCCCUAAACAGUUUGGGACGAUACGGAGCAACUUGAUAGUAGGAGAAUUUUGUGACCAGGAGAAAGAAAAAGGAAGUGGAGGACGGGCCCUCCCACGUGAGAAGAUUGUAACCCAGACCUGGCACGACGGCCCAGAAGCCGAAAGAAGCAGCGUGAAAAAAAUGAGAAGUUAUGAAGCGAUUAACAGAAGUAGAAAUUAUACACAAGACAAGAACUAAGACAGUUGUAACACGAAAUGAGUUAAAUUGAUGGUAGGUCUACCUUUGACAAUCUUAGCCCUUUUGAUCUUCCAAAACAUAAUACGUUGGACAGAGUCUGACUUAGCUGUUUCUGAACUCUGAUGAGCCUUUAGUAGCAUUUGAGGAGCUUUAAAAGAAACCCCUGAGCCUCACCUCAGAAGAUUUUGAUUCAUAACUACUGUGGGAUCUUGGCAGUGGUAGUUUUCUUAAAUUUUCAAGUUCAUUUUGAUGUGUUAACAAGAAAUUCUACUCACUUGUCUAAGGGACUUGGUUUCCUGUACUUCACCUCAGAAAAAUAAUUACAUACCCUAGACUACUCCAGUUCUCGCAACCUGUGUUGCGUUUAUUUUGUAAUAAUUUGUCUGUUAAUUUGAAGCUUCUGAUAGAUUCAAUUUGUUAUCUUUUGGAAGAAAGGAGUUUUAUGAGGUUCAUAAUUGCCUUUUUGAUUUUACUGAGUUUGAUAAUACUCUCAGUCUUUUAGUCUUUUAGAACAAUUUUAAUGCUUCCCUCAUCUGUUCCUAUAUAACCUUGAGCUUCAUUAAUCAGAGUUAUGAUUGAACGUGAACUGUGUACACAGCCCUGUUUUAAGUAUAUCUGUUUAAUUCACAGAAUAACUUUAUGGGGCAAGUACAAUUAUUAUUCACAUUUUAUAAAUAAGGAACCUGAGACACAUGACAUGAAGCAGGCUGACCAAGCUCAUCUCCUAAGCUAAUGGCAAAGCCCAAAUUUGUGUUCACGCACCUACUUCUCAAUAAAUAAAAGUUUUGCUUUGACACAUAGGCUACCUGUAGGAGUAUGUAGGGAAAUACCCACUUUUUAAAAAUGAUGGUGAGUCUACUUUUGACACUGUUUUAGCACAUUUGGUCUUUUAAAACAUAAUACUCCAAGUAAUUAUAAACAAUGGAACUACAGUGCUCAGUGUGUAGCAGACCAGGAAGUCCAAGCAAGGAGCCAGCAGAUGUAUCUGAUGAGAGCCUGUUCUUCGUAGAUGGUGCAUUUUAGUGUCUUUAAAUAGCAGAUGGGGCAAGCAGGCUCCUCAAUUUUUUUUCCUAUGCUACUGGGGACUGACCUACGGCUUCUUGUAGGCUAAGCACACUCUCACACCACUGAGCUACAUUUCAGUCCCCUCGAACCUCUUUUACAAGGGCACUAAUCCCACUUGUGACUUCUUCAUGUCUGCCAACCCCACUUCUUAAUACCAUUGCUUUGGAUAUUAGCUUUGAACAUACAAAUCUGAAGCACACAUGAAUAUUGACAGUAGAGCAGCAACCUUACCCUGCCUUCAGAUUUGGGAGAGCUUUGAAAAACAGAUUGCUAGCCCUAGAAUCUAGAGCUAACUUGACUGCCCCCUGUCUUUUUCUUCACCCUUACUAAGUUUGUUCUUUCCUAAAAGGAGUUUCAAUUCAUCGGGGAUUGUUUCACCAUUUAAUCUGUGUAACCUGUCACUAUACCGGGCACUGUGCUAGACAUAAGAGAUAUCAAGAAGAUACAAUGCAGAGUCUCAAGAAACAAGCUUAUCUUGGCACCCAAGUUAGGAAUCGCCAUAAUUACUUUGACAAGACCAAAGUAUAGAUGAUUAGAAUAACAAAGGCUUUCAGAAGCUCCCAGUGAAGAAAUGCUUAUUGACAAGGUGCUGAAAUGGAAAAUGUACUGAGUUUUCCUACAAAUAAAUUUAAUUUUCUAAAUUA